AGCUCACGCCUGACCCACCCUUAUUCUAAGCAUAGGGUCUGCCUCUGAAGAGCUAAAGACUUCCUGAAAUUUAAAAAUUAGUGCUUUUAUUUGCUUGUCCUGCUAAGACCGUAGGCAAAGGCCAUCCUCCUCCCAUUGACAGUUUAGAGUGGGCAGAAACAACCACGGUUACCCUAGAAGUAAAUCCAGAGCUGCGGGACGCUGGAGGACAAAACCAACCUUCCAGGGAAGCCGAGGAGAAGUCAUGCCUUCAAAAGACGGAGUUUUGCUCUGUCACCCAGGCUGGAGUGCAAUGGCCCGAUCUCGCCUCACUGCAACCUCCACCUCCCGAGUUCAAGAGAUUCUCCUGCCUCAGCCUCCCAGGGGCUGGGAAGUUCAAGAUCCAGGCCUCAGAAGAUUUGGGGUUUGGUGAGGGCCAUCUUCUCACUGUAGCCUUACAUGGUGGAAGAGGUAAGGCAGCUCUCUGGAACCUCUUUUAUAAGGGCACUAAUCCCUUUCAUGAGAACUCAGCCCUUAUGAACUCAUCGCCUCCUAAAUUCUCUACCUCCUAACACCAUCACUUUGACAAUCAGAUUUCAACAUAUGAAUUUGUGGGAGUCACCAGCAUUGAGACUAUAGCAACCCCUUAUUAGAAAUAAUUCAUGAGGAACUGAAACUGUUAGGAAACCACUGUGUAAAUGCUGGGAAACAAAGUCAGAUAAAUAAUGCUGAUAAUUACCU
rnacentral:lncRNA from 1 species